UCUAGAGCUUAGAGCAGUGAUGGUGAACCUUUUGGAGCCCGAGUGUCCAAACUGGAUCACUAAAUCAACUUAUGUAUUUCAAAGUGCCAACCCUGCAAUUGCAACCUCUG